UGCAGUCGACGAGAAGGGAUUGCUUGCAAUCCCGAGUAGAGUGGCGCACGGGUGAGUAACACGUAGAUAAUCUGCCUUCAAGCCUGGGAUAACAGUUCGAAAGGGCUGCUAAUACCAGAUGAAGUAAGUUGUCACAAGACGAUUUAUGAAAGAUGGCCUCUAUUUAUAAGCUAUUGUUUGGAGAUGAGUUUGCGGACCAUUAGCUGGUUGGUAGGGUAAAGGCCUACCAAGGCAACGAUGGUUAGCUGGUCUGAGAGGAUGAUCAGUCACACUGGAACUGGAACACGGUCCAGACUCCUACGGGAGGCAGCAGUGAGGAAUUUUGCGCAAUGGGGGGAACCCUGACGCAGCAACGCCGCGUGAGUGAAGAAGGCCUUUGGGUCGUAAAGCUCUGUCAAUUGGGAAGAAGUUAUCUGUUGCUAAUAUCAUCAGGUAUUGACGGUACCAAUGGAGGAAGCGCCGGCUAACUCCGUG
rnacentral:rRNA from 1 species